rnacentral:rRNA from 1 species
UACGAAGGGUGCGAGCGUUAUUCGGAAUCACUGGGCGUAAAGGGUGCGUAGAUGGCAUGUUAAGUUCGUUGUUAAAGGCUCCGGCCUAACUGGAGUAUUGCAAUGAAAACUGGCGUACUAGAGGGUGAGAGAGAGAAGUGGAAUUCCCGGAGUAGCGGUAAAAUGCGUGGAUCUCGGGAGGAACACCAAUGGCGAAGGCAGCUUCUUGGCUCAUUCCUGACAUUGAGGCACGAAAGCGUGGGGAG